rnacentral:rRNA from 1 species
UACAUGGGGGUGCAAACGUUGCUCGGAAUCAUUGGGCGUAAAGCGCGCGUAGGCGGUUACUUAAGUCGGAUGUGAAAGCCCUCGGCUUAACUGAGGAAGUGCAUCCGAAACUGAGUAGCUGGAGUACGAAAGAGGGUCGCGGAAUUCCCGGUGUAGAGGUGAAAUUCGUAGAUAUCGGGAGGAACACCGGUGGCGAAGGCGGCGACCUGGGUCGAGACUGACGCUGAGGCGCGAAAGCGUGGGGGAGCAAACAGG